AUUCCAGCUCCAAUAGCGUAUAUUAAAGUUGUUGCAGUUAAAAAGCUCGUAGUUGGAUUUCGGGGCGGCCCGACUGGUCCGCCGCGAGGUGAGCACUGGUCGGCCGCCCUUCCUCUCGGAAGCCCCGACUGCUCUUCGUUGCAGUGGUCGGGGAGUUCGGGACGUUUACUUUGAAAAAAUUAGAGUGUUCAAGGCAGGCCUUCGCCUGAAUACAUUAGCAUGGAAUAAUGGAAGAGGACUUCGGUCCCGUUUUGUUGGUUUCUUGGACCGAGGUAAUGAUUAAGAGGGACAGUUGGGGGCAUUCGUAUUUAAUUGUCAGAGGUGAAAUUCUCGGAUUUAUGAAAGACGAACGACUGCGAAAGCAUUUGCCAAGGAUGUUUUCAUCA
rnacentral:rRNA from 1 species